rnacentral:rRNA from 1 species
GCGAGUCGAGCGAAUGGAUUAAGCAGCUUGCUCUUAUGAAGUUAGCGGCGGACGGGUGAGUAACACGUGGGUAACCUGCCCAUAAGACUGGGAUAACUCCGGGAAACCGGGGCUAAUACCGGAUAACAUUUUGAACCGCAUGGUUCGAAAUUGAAAGGCGGCUUCGGCUGUCACUUAUGGAUGGACCCGCGUCGCAUUAGCUAGUUGGUGAGGUAACGGCUCACCAAGGCAACGAUGCGUAGCCGACCUGAGAGGGUGAUCGGCCACACUGGGACUGAGACACGGCCCAGACUCCUACGGGAGGCAGCAGUAGGGAAUCUUCCGCAAUGGACGAAAGUCUGACGGAGCAACGCCGCGUGAGUGAUGAAGGCUUUCGGUCGUAAAACUCUGUUGUUAGGGAAG